CGCCUGCUCGUAAACUCGUGUGUAAGACAGCUGCCUUCUAUCCGGAGAAAUUAGACAUUGCCUGGCGAAGAAAUAACGAGGACAUUUUCACCGGAAUAGAAACCGUGAAAACCCAGAACGCUGACGGAUCGUAUGAGGUUUCUAAUUUUUUGGAAAUAACGCAGCCUUCCAGGGACGACGUUGUUUACACCUGCCUGGUGUCGCAUGUCUCCCUCACGGUGCCUGCCAGUUUCAGCUACAUCGUCGAGCGAGGCACUUAUACUGAAUUGAUUCUUGGAUGUACAGCGGGCGGAUCGGCAAUUUUAGCUGUAAUUAUAUUUCUGACAAGACUCAGAUUCAAAGCAUCGCAUGAUCCAGAUAAAUGAGUAACGAUCCAUAUCACAACUGCGAGCGUGGGAGAUUUUAUCCUCGGUGAGCUGCGAAACCUGAGGAAUCUGGCGCUGACACCGUCAAUAAGCAUAAGAAUAUGAAGAAUCGGAGCAACCGUACGGCACUCGGCCUCUCAGUCCUGCCCUGCCAUUCAAUAUAAUCAUGGCUGAUCUGCCCUAAAUCCAGUCUCCUGUUCUCUGCCAACUCCCCAAAGCCCUUAAGUAAUUUGCUUCCACAGCCUUUCGGGAGAAAAAAUCGAGAAGAUCAUCACCGACUGCGAGAACAACUUUCGACGCAGCCCGCUUUUAAAUGUUGAUUUGUAUGCUG